rnacentral:lncRNA from 1 species
AGACUCUGCAGGCUCCAGAAGCUUUUAGAAGCUUCCAGAAGCAAUCAAAAGCGGCCGUGCAGGAAGUCAAGUAGAUAUCCAGAACACAAAGCAAAAUCAAUAAGUAAAUUCUGAUAUGAGCAAAAAAUAAUUCCCAAGAGAAGCAGAUUGGGGCCCAGGCAGACAAGCGCCAACCAACCUGUCGUAACCUUAGCCCUGCUUGGGACGAUGGGGUGGAUCAGCAUGUUUUGCUAGAUUUACGAUGAAUACGCAUCGGUGGAAAAACAAAUUAGAUUGAAUACAAGGGAGAAAAUACAAUCUUGAUAAUGCAGAAGGGUGAGUAACCUGUGUUGAAGAGGUGGAUGCAAUGCCAGAAAAUAACAGCACUGACUUCCAUACAUUACAAGACAAAGAGGCAAUAGUAUUCUGUGGCUUCAUUGUCGCAAGCACAGUGCUAAAUGUCUCUGCAGCAAUUAAAACAGACAACUUGUAUCUGCCAAGAUAAGCAGCUUUGACUUUGUGCACACCUACGUAAUAUAGUGAGUAUUCUUUGAUUAUAAAUAGUAAUCAUUGUUAUGCUCAGCAAUGACAUCUGACCCAUAUACAUAGAAGAACAACUUCAAAAGCAAAUAAAAUAAAAUUCAGAGUGUGUUUAUCUAUGUGU